rnacentral:rRNA from 1 species
UACAGAGACUGCGAGCGUUAUUCGGAUUCACUGGGCGUAAAGGGUGCGCAGGCGCCAGGUGUGUGAGGCGUGAAAGCCCGGGGCUUAACCCCGGAAUUGCACCUCAAACUACAUGGCUAGAGCAUUGGAGAGGGUAGCAGAAUUCACGGUGUAGCAGUGAAAUGCGUAGAUAUCGUGAGGAAUACCAGAGGCGAAGGCGGCUACCUGGACAAUUGCUGACGCUCAGGCACGAAAGCGUGGGGAGCAAAAGGG